rnacentral:pre_miRNA from 10 species
UCACCCGGAGAUCUUAUUAAAAUGCAGAUCAGUAAGUCUGCAGGUGGGUCUAUGAUUCUGCAUUUCCAACAAAUUCCCAAGUGAUGC